UUCCUGCAAAACUUUUCUUAGCAAUUAUUAAACUUUUAACCAUUCAUGGGUGUGAGCUUCAUGUGGAUUCCGUAUAAUAUUGAAGAUCAAAAAGGAAAUUUACUUCCCAAUUUUUUUUAGUAGGUCAUUUUAGCUGCCAAGAAAACAAGAUUUCUCAUCAUUACUAAUAAUUCAUCAAAAUAGUUUUUCAACAUAAACAGAAACAAGCGCCUUUUACUUUGUUUUAGCAAAACAGAAAGUGUUUUUGGAGGGACUCUCAAACCCUGAGGUCAUCAUUGUUGUUUUGGGCUUAUUUAACAAAUCAAACAUUCAAGUUGUUCAAAGCCCAAUUUCUUGGAAUUUUUUUGUGGGAAAAGUUUUGGCCUUUAUAUUUUUCAUUGAGUUUUUCCAUGGGCUAUGAUAUGUGGCAUUACUAUUAAGUCGGAUUGAGGGAUCAAAGGAAAUUUACGAAUUUAGAGAUUUGAUAUGUUUUAAAAAUAUUCAAAUUUAUAGGUGUAAGUGUAAUCGAACCAAGAUUUGACAAUAUAGCAUGAAGCUUGAGCUUCCAUUUGAUUAAAAAAAAAGCAAACUUUGUUUGUCCUUUUUAUUUUCUGGAUUUUAAUUCUUUUUAAGACAUGAAGAAAGUUGGAGUAUCAUUCUUUUCAUUUCACCUCUUUUAUUUUUUCGUUUUUCUAAUUUCACUAAAUUUCCAUUUUACUCCCAUCGUUCAUUAAAAUAACAAAUCUAUAAAUGUUACUAAUAAUACUAUGGAGAAAAUCGAGAAACAUAGUUAAAAGAUGAGUUUUUUAGUUAGAGUUAAAAAGCAAAAGGUUGCAUAAAAUUAAAGAGAAACAGAAUAAAUGUUAAUAUUUUAUUAAAAAAAGUAAGAAAUUUCACAAAUUUAAUCUCAAAGGUAGAAUUUGAAAUGAAAAUAAUUAGGAUUCGUCAAAGUUGCUCAUCCAAAUUUAAGAAUUUUAAUAAUUUCAAUUUUCAUUUCGUCAAACAAAAUAACAAUAAAAUUAGCCAAACAGAGCUGUUCUCUAACUGAUUUAUGCAUUUGUUUUUUAUAACAAUAAAAUUAAAAAUUAGCACUUAAACUAACGUGACAAACCAUAAAAGAACUCCAAGGACUAGAACAUGAAGUUUUCCAUACCACAAAGGUGUGAUAGCUUGACUUUAACAUGAGGGUAAAGAAAUGAGGUAACAAUUUUAAACACCUCAGGUUUAACAUGCCAGCACCAGGAAAACCAACAACCUCCAUUAGAGAGCUCAAUUAGUAGCCUUCUGAUUGUUUUCAUUCCCAAAAUUUUUCCUUUUAUACUCCAUGUAAUUGAAAGGAUAACUUUUAAUUGUUCACACUCAUAUUGAAUAAAAGCCAUCCAAUCAAAAACUAAUUGACUUGGCAAUACUUGAGAAGGAUUUGCUGAGAAAGAACAUGUGGCCGCUCAACACAUUUUGCCUAAACAUAACCCCAUAAAUCAUUAGAAUUCCCAAUCCUCAAAACUCAAACUUCCUGUUAGCAAACUACAACUAUAAUUUUUCUGAGACCUGGUUUACCCUAAAACCAGUAACACAAAAAAAAAAAAAAGAAAAACAAAGACAUUGAAAAUAAAGAAACGACUUACAAAGAUAAGCAACACGAGGGGCUUUCCAUUCCAGCAUGUUAGCAACUCUAAGAAACCUUUGAAUUUCAGAAGC
rnacentral:lncRNA from 1 species